UAGGGAAUCUUCCACAAUGGACGCAAGUCUGAUGGAGCAACGCCGCGUGAGUGAAGAAGGUUUUCGGACCGUAAAGCUCUGUCGUUGGUGAAGAAGGAUAGAGGUAGUAACUGGCCUUUAUUUGACGGUAAUCAACCAGAAAGUCACGGCUAACUACGUGCCAGCAGCCGCGGUAAUACGUAGGUGGCAAGCGUUGUCCGGAUUUAUUGGGCGUAAAGCGAGCGCAGGCGGAAGAAUAAGUCUGAUGUGAAAGCCCUCGGCUUAACCGAGGAAUUGCAUCGGAAACUGUUUUUCUUGAGUGCAGAAGAGGAGAGUAGAACUCCAUGUGUAGCGGUGGAAUGCGUAGAUAUAUGGAAGAAUACCAGUGGCGAAGGCGGCUCUCUGGUCUGCAACUGACGCUGAGGCUCGAAAGCAUGGGUAGCGAACAGGAUUAGAUACCCUGGUAGUCCAUGCCGUAAACGAUGAGUGCUAAGUGUUGGGAGGCUUCCGCCUCUCAGUGCUGCAGCUAACGCAUUAAGCACUCCGCCUGGGGGAGUACGACCGCAAGGUUGAAAC
rnacentral:rRNA from 1 species